ensembl:snRNA U2 U2 spliceosomal RNA
UGAGCUUCUCGGCCCUUUGGCUAAGAUCAAGUGUAGUAUCUGUUCUUAUCAGUUUAAAAACAAUGCUGGCGGGGCGCCUGGGUGGCUCAGUCGGUUAAGCCUCCGACUUCGGCUCAGGUCAGAUCUCACACGUUCAUGGGUUCGAGCCCUGCAUCAGGCUCUGUGCUGACAGCUAGCUCAGAGCCUGGAGCCUG